CGAGCGUGGGCUCCCUCUUCAAAACGGUACAGAGUCUCCAGGAGGGCGGUCGCGUUACGUUCGAGCUCUCCAUUCGAAAGUAAAGCAGUCAUAGGAGCCGGGCUGCCUCUCGAUAAGGGAUUGGAAAGAAGAAGAAGAAAAACAGUGAGCAAGUGUCAGGAUUUAAAGUUACUGAAGGGGCAGAGAAGAAAGUUGAAGACUGAAGGAAGAAGAAGAAGAUUAGAGAGGAAAAGUCGUGGAUAAUCGUAGAAAGGAUUGGGGCUGGGAAAGUAGGUUGUGAUGACGGGUGAGGAAGGUAAGGGCGGAACUGGGGGUGGCGGUGACGGUGGUGGUAUAACCGAUGGAAGCGCCACCGACAAUGCGAACAACAUUAACGUCAACGUCAACGUCAGCGUUAACCAACAAAACGGCGCACCGGAAAAGGCACCCGUCGUUACCGGAACAAACAUGGAGACACUACCUCGGACUGGAAAACAGAGUGAUCCCAGCACGGCAUUUUUAAGGGCUGCUAGGGCGGGCCAGCUGGAAAAGGUUUUGGAAUAUUUAGAAUCCGGAGUCGACAUAAACGCUUCUAACGCUAACGGCUUAAACGCUUUACACCUCGCUGCUAAGGAUGGUCAUUUAGAAAUAGUCAGGGAACUCCUGAGUCGCGGUGCCAUCGUAGAUGCUGCUACGAAAAAAGGAAACACCGCGUUGCACAUUGCUUCUCUUGCCGGACAAGAGGAGGUUGUGCAGUUACUGGUGCAACGUGGCGCAUCGGUUAAUGCACAGUCGCAAAAUGGCUUCACACCUCUUUACAUGGCCGCCCAGGAGAACCAUGACUCCGUCGUCAAGUUCCUGCUCAGCAAAGGCGCCAACCAGACACUCGCUACCGAGGACGGAUUCACGCCAUUGGCUGUUGCCAUGCAACAGGGACACGAUAAGGUUGUUGCUGUUUUAUUGGAAAGCGAUACCCGCGGCAAGGUACGACUUCCUGCACUUCACAUUGCCGCUAAGAAGGACGACUGCAAGGCUGCUGCACUGCUUUUACAAAACGAUCACAAUCCUGACGUAACGUCGAAAAGUGGAUUCACGCCACUUCACAUAGCCGCACAUUAUGGCAACGACCGAAUCGCUUCAUUGCUCUAUGAUAAAGGAGCUGAUGUUAAUUUUGCUGCCAAGCACAACAUCACACCCAUGCACGUGGCAGCUAAGUGGGGUAAAAUCAAGAUGGUUAAUCUCUUAAUGAGCAAGGGUGCGAAUAUCGAAGCGAAAACGAGAGACGGAUUGACGCCGCUUCACUGUGCUGCAAGAUCAGGACAUCACGAGGUGGUUGACAUUCUCAUAGAAAAAGGAGCACCGAUUGGCUCGAAAACGAAGAAUGGUCUCGCGCCUUUACACAUGGCGUCCCAAGGGGAUCACGUAGAUGCUGCCAGGAUUCUUCUUUAUCAUCGGGCACCCGUUGACGAAGUGACCGUUGAUUACUUAACCGCUCUGCACGUAGCUGCUCAUUGCGGUCACGUUCGCGUGGCGAAACUUCUUCUUGACAGAAAUGCCGAUCCUAACGCCAGGGCGCUUAACGGCUUCACGCCCCUUCACAUCGCAUGCAAGAAAAAUAGGAUAAAGGUCGUCGAGCUGCUUCUCAAGCAUAAAGCUAGCAUCGAAGCUACUACCGAGUCCGGGCUAACGCCUCUUCACGUGGCGAGCUUCAUGGGCUGCAUGAACAUCGUCAUCUACUUGUUACAACACGAAGCUAGUCCAGACAUUCCUACUGUUCGGGGUGAAACGCCAUUGCAUCUGGCUGCCAGGGCUAAUCAGACUGACAUCAUUAGGAUACUCCUGAGGAACGGUGCACAGGUCGACGCCAGGGCGAGGGAGGAACAGACGCCGCUUCACGUUGCUUCUCGCUUAGGGAACGUGGAUAUCGUCAUGUUGCUAUUGCAGCACGGUGCCGACGUGGAUGCCACUACGAAGGACCUGUAUACUCCACUUCAUAUUGCAGCUAAGGAAGGACAGGAAGAGGUCGCAUCCGUGUUGCUGGAAAAUGGCGCCUCCUUAACAGCCACCACGAAGAAGGGCUUCACCCCACUUCACCUGGCUGCCAAAUACGGCAACAUGAACGUGGCCAGACUUCUGCUGCAGAAGAACGCACCGGUAGACGCCCAAGGAAAGAAUGGAGUUACUCCGCUUCAUGUGGCGUCGCAUUACGAUCAUCAGAACGUGGCUUUACUUUUACUGGACAAGGGUGCCUCGCCGCACGCCAUGGCUAAGAACGGUCACACGCCUCUGCAUAUUGCUGCUCGUAAGAAUCAGAUGGACAUUGCGACUACGUUAUUGGAAUACGGAGCCAAAGCAAAUGCUGAAUCAAAGGCGGGCUUCACACCGCUUCAUUUGAGCGCACAGGAGGGACACACCGAUAUGUCAACGUUGCUCAUUGAACACAAGGCAGACACCAAUCACAAAGCUAAGAAUGGUCUUACGCCACUACAUUUAUGCGCACAAGAGGAUAAGGUCAACGUGGCUUCGAUCCUCGUGAAAAACGGUGCUGAGAUCGACGCAAAGACUAAGGCUGGCUACACGCCCUUACACGUGGCAGCUCAUUUCGGACAAACAGCCAUGGUACGGUUUUUGUUGAGAUCUGGUGCCGCAGUCGACAGCAGCACAGGUGCUGGUUAUACUCCGUUACAUCAAGCUGCUCAGCAAGGACAUACGGUGGUCAUAAACUUGUUGCUGGGAAGCAAAGCCAAGCCUAACGCUGUUACGAACAAUGGACAAACGGCUUUGGACAUUGCCCAAAAGCUUGGAUACAUCAGCGUCGUGGAGACUCUUAAAGUCGUCACCGAGACCAUCAUCACGACGACUCACACCGUCACCGUCGAGGAGAAGUACAAGGUGCAGGCACCGGAAUCUAUGCAGGAGACAUUCAUGAGCGACAGCGAGGACGAAGGUGGUGGCGAUGAAAUCGGCAUGGCGGCCAUGAAUGUGUACGGGCAGCCGCCACACGCGCAACACGUGUACCUCCCUUCCUACUACCAGGGCCAAAUGACCUACACUCGCGAGGAUCCGAUGCUCAGCGAUCAGCAACAAUACCGCUACAUGACAGUUGAUGACAUGAAGUCAAUGGGUGAUGAUUCCAUGCGCGUCAACGUCACCGACGAUGAGAGAGACAAUCGACAUUCUAACGCACCCACCAUUACAGAAAUGAUUACCAAGGAGAGUUACCAUCGAUCGAAUGCUGCGAAUCUCAAACCGGAUAAUGUUGACAUCAAUAGGCAUCCGGUACACGUUGGCGCGUCACUAGAGUCCUUAAAUACGUCGCUGGCAGCCCUUGGUAUCGUGCCAAAAGGACAAGGAAUGUGGAGGGACAGAAUUCCACAAUGGAGAAAUUUCCUUGUGUCGUUCCUGGUGGAUGCAAGGGGUGGUGCGAUGCGGGGCUGCCGUCACAGCGGAGUCCGAGUGAUAGUGCCACCACGUAAGGCAGCGAUGCCUAUGAGGGUGACCUGCAGGUAUCUCAAGAGGGACAAACUCACCAACCCUCCACCGUUGAUGGAGGGCGAGGCGUUGGCAAGCAGGAUUCUCGAGCUUGGACCAGUCGGUGCCAAAUUCUUAGGGCCUGUAAUUAUCGAGGUGCCACACUUCGCUUCCCUGCGUGGAAAGGAACGAGAAAUCGUGAUCCUACGUUCAGACAAUGGAGAAACUUGGCGCGAGCACACCCUGGAAGCCAGCGAGGAGGCUGUCCAGGAUGUGCUUAACGAGAGCUUCGAGGGCGAAGAGUUGAGCCAGCUGGAGGAUCUCCAAACGUCACGAAUUGUCAGAAUCCUCACCGUAGACUUUCCCCAUUACUUUGCUGUAGUCUCGCGUAUCAGACAGGAAGUUCAUCCUGUUGGUCCCGAAGGUGGUACUGUAUCCUCAUCGGCAGUUCCCCAGGUGCAGGCUGUAUUUCCACCAGCUGCACUCACUAAGAAGAUCAGAGUUGGUCUGCAGGCACAUCCUAUACCUGCUGAACUCGUAGCAAAACUCCUAGGGAACCGUGUCGCCGUGUCACCAAUCGUAACGGUGGAACCACGUCGCAGAAAAUUCCACAAACCUAUCACUUUGACGAUACCUGUGCCUCAAGCUGCCAACAAAGGCAUGAUCAAUCAAUAUUCAGGAGACGCGCCGACACUUAGGCUCCUGUGCAGCAUAACUGGGGGUCAGUCUCGGGCGGUCUGGGAGGACGUCACCGGGUCAACGCCACUGACCUUCGUCAAAGAUUGCGUUUCGUUCACAACGACCGUAUCAGCCCGCUUCUGGUUAAUGGAUUGCCGGAAUAUAUCUGAAGCUACCAAAAUGGCUACGGAACUCUACACCCACGCAACCCACGUGCCAUUUAUGGCGAAAUUCGUGGUAUUUGCAAAACGCGUUGAUCCGCUCGAGGCCAGACUACGUGUCUUCUGCAUGACAGAUGACAAGGAGGACAAAACGUUAGAGCACCAGGAACACUUCACAGAAGUAGCCAAGAGUCGAGAUGUCGAGGUACUGGAGGGUAAAACGCAGUACAUGGAAUUCGCUGGUAACCUAGUGCCUGUAUUGAAGAGCGGUGAACAACUUCAGCUACCCUUCAGAGCUUUCAAGGAGAACAGAGUGCCCUUCACUACCAGGGUCAAGGAUCCUGACGCAGCGGAUAUGAUGGGUCGCAUUAUGUUCAUGAGCGAACCAAAGGUUCCCAAGGGAGAACCUUCGCAGACGCCUAUCUGCACGCUGAACAUCCUGCUUCCGGAGAAAAUAUCUCCGGACACUGCGGUUUCCGAGCUCGACCUUCUGGAGUUGUCGAAGAAUUACAGUUUUCUGCGAGACGGCGGACUCAGUAGGCCGGAUGCCAUACAUAGGGCAACCAUCCGACUGACCGACAUCGCUAACUUAUUGGACACUGACUGGGUGAAAUUAGCAGAGGAAUUAAAUAUUCCUCCCAAUGACGUUGACGCGAUCAAGAAGGAGCAUCCUGGAAAGCCGGCACAGCAGGCCGCCGCCAUGUUUAAGCUCUGGCAGGAUAAUGGUAACAAAGCCACAGGAAACACUUUGGAGAAAGCUCUCAACAAAAUAGGCCGUGAGGAUAUUGUGAAAAAGUGUAUAUUCAACGUGGAACUAGUGACUGACGAUGUCGAGAAGGCAGUUGCAAGAGUCAGGCUCGAUCAGCCUGGUUUUGAUUCUCUGAAGGAAGAAUUGGGUCCGUCCAGAGACACGUCGUUACGACGAGACGCGACAAUGGACCCAAAAAUGGACCCAGAUUAUGAAGAACCUGACAGAAUGAAGGAUUCCGAGUCCGUGGAGGAUCUUAGCGCUGCCGGCACGAUAUCCCACAAACAGACCGAUCAGCACGUCACUAUUACAAACGGCACUGUAUUCAAUGGUACCUCGACCCCCAUCAAAGACAAAUAUGCCAGCGACGAGAAAGAACUCGGUGACGUGAUGGCCGAUUUCAUCGAGCAGAAGUGUAACGCGAGCGAUUCGAUGACGAAAAAAUUAAUCGACGAUCCUGACGACGAUAACAAAAAACGCCAGAGGGUGAUGGCAGACGCGAACAAAAUAGUAUCGGGUGUUAUACAAGACGCUGAGAGAAAGAAGGGGAGGUUAGCGAAGGAAGGGUGGUCGGUGGUUUACGAUGACGAUGUGCGAGAGUCUAAAGAGGCAGAAGGUGCUGUAGGGCCACAAUUUUCUAUAUUAGAACAGUCUAUUAUACCGAUCAGAGGCGCUGACCCGAUAUUAGGCCAGAGAAAGGAUAAGGAGCCGGAUAUUGAGCCACCGAUGAUAAAGGAACAUCGCGUUAUUGGUGGUAAGGACGGUGGUACCAAGGGUUCCGGUGUUACUACUACUACGAAGACAGUGGUUACCACCCAGGGUGAUCCUACCACCGGUCAGACUGUUGUUACCAAGACAACCACGGUUCGUGAGUUCGAGCCUGUUUUGAGUAAGACUAUCGUAGACGUAGGACCUGCUAGGCAGACUCAUUACUUUGGGCAGGAUGAUCCUGUCAUUGGUUUAGGUAAGACUAGUGACGAGGUUAAACCCUCUGAUAGUAAGAAGGAUACCGUUACCAUCAGGAGGACCAAAACGGAAAUCGUUACCUCAGGUGAUUCCAACUUUGGUAAGGAUAUAGAUAGUGGUGUUCAGAAAGGUAAGAUCAUUGUAUCGGGUGUCGUGAAGGAGAUUGACGUUAAGCCUGGUAAGGACGCCAAGGGAGACAAGGACUCGGCUGAUGUUGUCAGGACUCAGACUGUUUUCUUCGACACGAAAAUGGAUACUGAGAUACCUAAUGAUGGCGUCACUAAGAGCAUCGCCAAGGUGUAUCCUGACGCGGACUCUAUGUUCUCUGACCUUAAGAAUGAUGUUGCCAGCGAGAAGGAGAGAUUGUCCAAGGAAGGUAAAGAAGUUGAUGAGAAGAUCCUUAAGGAUGUGAGUGCUGUGCUCGACAACACGAGACAGAAGCCCAAGGAGAUCAAGGGGAUCCUCAAGAACGAAUCUAAGAAAAUAGACUCCAAAUCGACUGAAAUUGAAUCGCCUUCCAAGGAUGACAAACGUGUGUCUGCUUAUGAGGUUGUCUAUAAUGCACAGCAUCCUCAGGACGAUGGAAAGGAUAAGGCAGAUGGGAAGAAAGGGAAGGACAAGUCCGGAGGGAUAUUCUCUGGAAUUUUCAAGGGACCAAAACUUAAGAAGAGCAAAUCCAAAGACUCGAAGGACGUUUCCUUUGACAGCGGCGACGAGGACACUAAGAAUGCUACUUUGAUGUUCCUGGAGGAUACGAGGAAGGUUGCUGAUUAUAGUCAUCAACCGGAGUAUCACUCCAGUGAUGUAUCAAGUCCUAGUGUACCUUCGUUUGUGGAUUCCCAUGCACCAGUUUAUGACACUAAGGCUGCGACACUUGAAUUUUUGGAUGACUCCAGAAGAAUGGCUGAAAUUUUACAUGGAACGCCUAAGGAUACUGCACACGUGACUAUUGCUACCACGGGUUCUGUUAUGAAACCAGUGGAGAUCAGUAAGCAGACAGUGGAGACCACAGAAGAGAAGUCUGCUACGUCCAAUGAAGAUUCUGCUGAAGAAUCCAAGGACAAGGGUGGCUUCUUUGGGUUCUUUAAGGGAGCCAAGAGUAAGAAGGAUAAACUCCUGGAGGACACAGACCGAACGGCUGAAGAGGUGAAGAAAGCAGCGGAAGUGGUAGAAGAGAAGACGAGGAAGGAUGCCAAGAAAGCCGUGGAACAUAUAAAGGAUGUAAAAGAUCAGACCGUAGACGUUGCUAAAUCUUUGGCUGAAUCCGUUGAGGAUGGCUCUAAGAAAAUUGCUGAUGACACAGCUAAGAAAGUUGAGAAAACUGUGGAUACUGUUGAGGAUGCUGGAAAGAGAGCAGCUGAAGAGAUCAAACGUGACGCUAAGGUUGCCAAGGAUGGUUUGGUCAGUGGAGCUGAAUAUGUGUCAGAUAAAGCAAAGGAUGCUGGGCAGGCCGUGGCAGAUAAAACUAAGGAUGCUGGACAGGCUGUGGCAGAUAAAACUAAGGAAGUGGCAAAGAUGACAGCGAACGGUACAAAAGCUGCCAAGGAUGCACUCGUCAAGGAGGUCAAAGAUGAUGUACAAAUUGUUAAGGAGAAAACAGUUGCUGCUGGGCAAGUAAUAGCAGAUAAAACAGCGGAUGCUGGAAAAGCUAUUAAAGACGGUGCUAAAGCAACUAAACAAACUGUGGAAAAGGGUAUUGACAGGACCAAGGAAAACCUGGAAGCUGGUGCUGAUCGCGUUGCUGAUGGUACCAGGGCAGCUGGCGAUGCUGCCAAGGAUUCUGCUAUUGCAGUUGAAAAAUCAGUGAAAUCCGGAAUACAGUCUGCGUCCGCUGGUAUUAAGGAUGCGAAGGACAAAGCUGCUGCUGAAAUGAAGAAAGGUGGAAAAAUUGUUAGUGAAACAGUGACAGCUGGUGGCAAGGAAGUGAGUCAGGCAGCAGAAGCAGCCAAGGACAAGGCAGCGGAGGAGGCUAAGGAAGUGGCGGAUGACAUAAAGGAAAAGAGUAGCGGAUUCUUUGGUAUCUUCAAGAGUCCCAAGAGCAAGAACAAGAAAAGAAGCAAGUCGAAGGACAAGACUUCUUCGAAGGAAACUUCAUUUGACAGUGGAGACGAAGAAUUAAAAAUAGCUACGGCAAAGUUCCUGGACGACACCAGAAAAGCUGCUGAAACUGCUGUGGACUCUAUAAUACUAGACUCAAGAGCUGCCGCAGGUGCUGCUGUUGCGGAUACCAAGGGAAAGUUCAUCACAAAUGUAUCGACGGGUUUCGAGACGCCGAACGAGAAAAUCAGGGGAGUUUCUUACGACGUUGCGACAGCUGUUGAAAAAGUUAAGAACGAUGGAAAACUAUUGGCUGACGACGCACAAGUAGCUGUCAAGGACCUCGCUAAAACUGGAAAGGACGAGGUCAGGACUCUCAAGGAUAAAAUUAAGGAAGACGUCGUGGCGGUAGAAGACAAGACGAGACGGGGUGCUGAUGCUGCAGCUAAUGGCGCUGCAAUUGAAGGAAGGAAAGCAAAGGAAUAUUCUAGGGACAUUGCGGAUGGUAUCCAGGCUACUGCGGAAGUUGUUGCCAAGGAUGUCAAGCGUGAUGUCAGGACAAUUGAAGAUACAGCUGCAGCAGCUGGAAGGGAUGCUGCGAAGGCGGCUGAUUCUGCAAAAGACAAAGUCGCGGAAGAGGCCAAAGAAUUGGCCGACGACGUCAAGGAGAAGAGCAGUGGGUUCUUUGGAAUGUUCAAGAGUCCCAAAUUAAAGAGUAAGAAGAGAAACAAAUCCAAGGAUAAGAGUUCGUCGAAGGAUACGUCCUUUGAGAGCGGUGACGAGGAGCUGCGAAUUUCCACAACCAAAUUCUUUGAUGACACCAAAAAAGUUGCUGAAUCCUUACCACACUCUGAUGUAGGAAAAGCUGUUGCUGAUCUCAAGAGUACGACAAAGGAUGGACUCAAAGUCGAGGCUCAGGUUGGUGUACCAGAUAUCAGUGUUAAGGACAGAAUUGUCCAGGAUAUCAAGGACGAUGUAAAAUCUGCAAAGGACAAGGUCAGUGAAAAUGUAACUACUGUAAGUCACAGUGUAGCUACCAUAAAGGAUAAUACAUCAAAGGAGGCUGAGGAACUUGAGAAGAAGGUGGCUGCUGAGGGUCAACGCACUUUAGGUGCUGCCAAGGAUAACAUAAAGAAAACUGCUGAGCAAGUUUCAAAGGACAUUAAACAUGGCGGUGAUUACGUAGCCGGUAAAGCAGAAACCGUCAAGAGCGAAGUAUCCCAAGAUGCGAAGAAGCUGGCUGAGAAUGUUACUGAGGAUGUAUCCGCUGCUGGGAAAGCAACGGCCGACGAGGUGAAAGAUCUGGCCAGUGACGUUAAAGAGAAGAGUAGCGGUUUCUUUGGUAUCUUCAAGAGUCCCAAGUCUGGGAACAAGAGGAGAAGUAAGUCCAAGGAGAAGAGUUCAUCCAGGGAAAUUUCUUUUGAUAGCGGAGACGAGGAUGUUCGUGCAUCAACUGCCAAAUUCUUGGAAGAUACCCGAAAUACGGCGAACGUUGAAGACGUGUACAAAUCUCCAUUCCAGGUCGAUCGCCAAUCAUCCCAGGGCAAUGUCAUUCAGGAAUUGAAGUAUGCUACUACAGAAGUACUGGAGGAUCCACGAAAGAGUAGUAAGGAUCAGGAUAAAAAUGGCAAGGACUCUAAGAGUGACUCAAGAAUAUCGAGCCGUGCAGCAUCGCCAGAGUCUACCAAGGAUAAAUCAGGAAAAGAAUCAAAGAAAGGUAAAGAGAAGAGUGGUGGAUUUUUAUCUGGUAUUUUCAAAGGUGCCAAGCACGCCGUAGACGAGGUUACGGAGGACGUGAAGGAAUUUUUGGAUGACACCAAACACGAAGCUGCCGAGGAGGAGGAGCGCGCCAAACGUGCUGCUGAAGAAGCUGCCAAGGAAGCGAAGGUCGCAAAGGACAAAGCAUCAGUUGGAAUUCAGGAGGCCAGCGAUAAGAUUUCCAAGGUGGUAUCGGAUGAUCUACAAAAGGUCGCUGAUGCUUCGAAAGUAGCUAAAGAUAAGACCGUGGAUAAGGUAAUUGCUGGAAAAGAUGCUGUUUCUGAUGCUGCUAAGACCGUUGGCGAACAGGUAGGAAAAGGUGCUGCUGUGGCUGUUGAAGGUGUUAAGGAUACCAGUCAUAAAUUGGUUGAAGGUGUCAAAGGAGCUAAGGAUGUUGGUAGUAAAGAAGUUAAGGAGGAUACCAAGAUCGUGAAAGAGAAAGUUAAGGCUGGUGCAGAAUCUGUGGCUGAAGCUACGGAAGCUACAAAAGAGAAAGCAGCCAAGGAAGCUAAGAAAGCCAAGGAAAAGACAGGUGGAUUUCUGUCUGGCAUCUUUAAGGGAGCUAAACACGCAGUUGAGGAAGUAACUGAUGAAGCCAAGGAAUUCUGGGACGAAACGAAGCAGGAAGCGACCGAAGAGGAGGAGCGUGCUAGACGGGCUGCCGAGAAAGCUGCGAAGGACUUGAAGGAUACAAAGGAUAAAGUCAGCAAGGAAGUCUCAGAGGAUGUCCAGGCUGUAGUCGAUGCUACUAAAUCCGCAAAGGAUCAGUCCAAGGAGAAGUUGGCUUCUGCUAAGGAUGCCGUAGUGGACACUGCUAAAUCUGCCGGGGACAAAGUAGCAAAGGGAGCGGAAGCUGCAGUUGAGGGUGUAAAGGAUGCGUCCCAAAAAGUCGCCGACGGCGCCAAAGGCGCAAAGGAUGCAGUAACCAAGGAGGUGAAGGAAGACACUAGGAUCCUCAAGGACAAAGCGAAGGCUGGUGCAGAGGCUGUAGCCGAUACAGCCGAGGCUGCAAAGGACAAGGCAGCCAAGGAAGCCAAGAAGGCUAAAGAAAAGACCGGAGGAUUCUUAUCAGGCAUUUUCAAAGGUGCCAAGCAAACUGCCGAUGAAGUCACUGCUGAUGCCAAGGACUUCUUAGAUGAAACACGUAAAGAAGCCGAGGAAGAAGGUGAACGCGCUCGUCGAGCAGCUGAGGAUGCAGCUAAGUCCGCCAAAGAUGCCAAAGACAAGGCGGCUGCUGACAUCAAAGAUACGAAGGACCAGGUCGUAGACACUGCGAAAUCUGUGAAGGACGCUGCAGUUGGGAAAGUUGCAUCUGCUCGCGAUGCCGUGGUGGAUACUACCAAAGCUGCUGGUGAGAAGACAGCCAAAGCCGCAACUGCAGUAGCAGAGGGAGUGAAGGAUGCAUCCCAAAAAGUAGUAGAUGGUACCAAAAACGUAAAAGAUAAGGUAACCAAGGAGAUUGAAGAAGACACAAAGAUUGUAAAAGAGAAAGCCAAAGCUGGUGCUGAAGCUGCAGUUGAGACAGCAGAAGCUGCCAAGGAUAAGGCAGCGAAAGAAGCAAAGAAAGCAAAAGACAAAAGUAGUGGCUUUUUCACAGGGAUUUUGAAAGGUGCCAAGCAUGCAGUCGAGGAAGUAACGGAUGAAGCCAAGGAAUUUUGGGACGAAACGAAGCAGGAAGCGACCGAAGAGGAGGAGCGUGCUAGACGGGCUGCUGAGAAAGCUGCGAAGGACUUGAAGGAUACAAAGGAUAAAGUCAGCAAGGAAGUGUCCGAAGAUGUCCAGGCUGUAGUCGAUGCUACUAAAUCCGCAAAGGAUCAGUCCAAGGAGAAGUUGGCUUCUGCUAAGGAUGCCGUAGUGGACACUGCUAAAUCUGCCGGGGACAAAGUAGCAAAGGGAGCGGAAGCUGCAGUUGAGGGUGUAAAGGAUGCGUCCCAAAAAGUCGCCGACGGCGCCAAAGGCGCAAAGGAUGCAGUAACCAAGGAGGUGAAGGAAGACACUAAGAUCCUCAAGGACAAAGCGAAGGCUGGUGCAGAAGCCGUGGCUGAUACAGCCGAGGCUGCAAAGGACAAGGCUGCGAAAGAGGCCAAGAAGGCUAAGGAUAAGGUCAAGGCUGGUGCAGAGGCUGUAGCCGAGACUACAGAAGCUGCGAAAGACAAGGCAGCCAAGGAAGCCAAGAAGGCUAAAGAAAAGACCGGAGGAUUCUUAUCAGGCAUUUUCAAAGGUGCCAAGCAAACUGCCGAUGAAGUCACUGCUGAUGCCAAGGACUUCUUAGAUGAAACACGUAAAGAAGCCGAGGAAGAAGGUGAACGCGCUCGUCGAGCAGCUGAGGAUGCAGCUAAGUCCGCCAAAGAUGCCAAAGACAAGGCGGCUGCUGACAUCAAAGAUACGAAGGACCAGGUCGUAGACACUGCGAAAUCUGUGAAGGACGCUGCAGUUGGGAAAGUUGCGUCUGCUCGCGAUGCCGUGGUGGAUACUACCAAAGCUGCUGGUGAGAAGACAGCCAAAGCCGCAACUGCAGUAGCAGAGGGAGUAAAAGAUGCAUCCCAAAAAGUAGCAGAUAGUACCAAAAGCGCAAAGGAUAAGGUAACCAAGGAGAUUAAAGAAGACACAAAGAUUGUAAAAGAGAAGUUAGUAUCUGGAGCUGAGUCAGUAGCUGAUACUGCAGAGGCAGCAAAGGAUAAAACAGCCGAAGAAGCCAAGAAAGCUAAAGAAAAGGGUAGCGGCUUCUUAUCGGGUAUCUUGAAGGGAGCUAAACACGCCGUAGACGAAGUUACCGAAGAGGUCAAAGAGUUCUGGGAUGAAACAAAACAGGAAGCUGCUGAAGAAGAGGAGCGUGUAAGACGUGCCGCAGAGGAAGCUGCCAAGGAAGCAGAAGAUGCGAAGGAUGAAACCCUGGUAGGUCUGAAAGACACCAAGGAGAGAAUUUCCAAAGAAAUUUCCAAGGAUGCGCAGAAGGUCGCAGAUGCUUCCAAAAAGGCGAAGGACCAGACGGAUGAGAAAGUCACCGCCGGUCGCGACGCGGUCUCCGACGCUGCAACAGUGGCCGCUGGGAAGGUGUCAAAAGGCGCCGCAGCCAUAGUAGAAGGAGCCAAGGACACUGCUCACAAGGUAGCCGAUGGUGCCAAAGGUGUCAAGGAUACCGUAACCAAGGAAGUCAAAGAAGACACUAAAAUUGUAAAAGAGAAAGUCACUGCAGGUGCGGAAGCUGUCGCUGAUACGGCCAAAGUCGUGAAAGACAAAACUGCAAAGGGUGGCAAGAAGGCCAAGGAGAAAACCAGUGGCUUUUUCUCGGGAGUCUUCAAAGGAGGAAAACACACUGCAGACGGCGUACCCAAGGAUGUCACUAAAGUCACGACAGAAACUUCCAGAGAAACGAGUCCCACAAAGCCCACUACGGAAGUCGACGCAUCAGUAGCACUACCAGAUUCCAAAAUUGUGACUUCGAUGUUCCUAGAAGACGCACAAAACACAGCAUCCCAACCAGAAGAUCAGCACAGAAGAUCAAGUCCAUCAGAAUCAAAGUACCAAUCUGCAAGCUCAGAAUCAAGCUCAGCAAGAAGUUCCUUAGAACGUGGUAGUUCGCUAGAGAAAAAAUCAAAGAAAUCAAAAGGAGUCCUCUCGAGUAUAGUUAAGGGUGCGAAGUCAGCUUCGCACAAAAUCGCCAAGGAAGUCGAUCACGCUACGGAAGGUAUCAGGGGCACUACGCACAAAUUUUGGGAGGACACAAAACGUGAGUCAGAGGAGUCUUUACCAUCAGGUAGCUAUGAAGUUUCGUCGCCGCUCAGGGAUUCUGACGGCGUUAGAGACGUGGUGGCCGAGUCAUCAGAAUCGCACGAUAGGCUCUCAGGAGUAGGAGAAUUAAAGAGAUCAGGUAGCGAGGGUAAGAGUAAAGCAGUUUCCCGCAUUCCACAGAAAAUCAGUCCGCCAAAGGAAACGAAGCGUAGCUUAGUGGAAAUAUCCGACAGGGUAGUCGAGGAUGUUUCGAGCAGGCUAGAGCACCUUGAGCCUCGCGCACGUCAAACCGUCACCACAGUCGUAACAAAGUCUGUGCGGACGGCGACCCCACCACCCAGCCCCGCGGAGUUCAGUGACAGUAGCAUUAAAGAUGUGACCGAGGAAGCUGCCAGACGAGCCCAGGAUCUCGCAGAUCAGGCGCAUCCACAGAAACGACCAGGGCAUGAUUCGGCUGAGAUUGAUGGGACUGUAGAGAGGCAUGCUACUUCUGCUCCAACAAAGCAACCCGUUCCCGCCCCACGCCAAUCCACCACCAAGCCGUCCACCAAAACAGAUCUUCGUCUAGAGCUCGAGGACACACAGUCCUCGCGUACCGGCAAGAUCACCAAGUCAAAAAUACCAGAACUGAUUGGCAAGGCGCCUCACAAGUCUCCGGAAAAGAAAUCUGGAGCAAAGUCACCAGACAAAGUUCGUACUCAGGUCGCUGAAGAGGUACACCUUGCGACAGAGCCAACAAGUCCCAAGAGUAAGAUUCCAGUGAAGAUCAAAGAAUCUGGCAAGGAAGGUGGUAAGACUACUGCGACGGAAACAGUCACAAGUAGAAUAGUAGAGGGAAAAGUACCUGAAGUGAAGCAAGUCACUAGAAUUAUCGAAACACCAGGUGAGAGAAGAGUUGGAGAUGUGGACACAGAAACAUUUGAAGACACACGCACUCUGGAUGACGGCACUGUGGUGAAGACAGUGAGAACCGUAAGGACAAUCACCGGAGAAGUUGUAGAUCCUAGAAGUAUAGAUGAGAUGAUGGCUCAGGAAGGUUUCUCAAAGACUACAACGACAGUGAGAACCAGUACGGGUGAAGAGAUGGACCCUAAUAAGCUUGAAGAGUUAUUAAGAGACGGUGGAUAUACCAAAAAGGUCGUUACCACUGUGACUUCCGGUGAAAAGAUAGACCCAGCGAAAUUUGAUGAUCUAGUAAAAUCUGGUGGCUUCGCAAGGACGGUGACCACUGUAAAAACUAGCACCGGCGAGGAAGUCGAUCCCCAAGAGUUCGACAAGCUUAUGUCCAGCGGUGGCAUCACAAAGUCUGUAAGAACCAUACAAAGCAGUACAGGGCAGGAAAUAAGUCCAGAGAAAUUCGAUGAACUCAUUAAGAGCGGUGGUUACAGAGUAACCACUGUAAAAUCAAGCACAGAAAAUGACGUACCAACAGAGAAGUACGAAGAUCUCCUGAAAGAUGGUGCUGCUACUACUAGGAUGGUCACUGUGAUAAAGACUGAGAAAAGCGGUGGAGGUGAUACCCAGAGUUAUGAGAAAUUUCUAACUGACCAAAGCAGCACAGAUCGAACCAUGGACCCUGAAAAAUUGAGAGACUUCUUCAAGGACGGUAACGUUGUAUCAGACAAGGUUGUAAAAAAAACCGUGAGAACAUUAAGGUCGGGUGGUGCUGGGGAACCUGAAGCGUGGACGGAAACUGUUGUAACUAAAAGAUCCUCUGACGGAAAACCGGAGACUUGGGAAACUACGACCACGACCAAGUCUGGUGAUGGUAGAUCUGAACAAUGGGAUACCCAAUUCUCAUUGGACAUCUCACCAGGUUCUGGUAAUGGUGAUGUAUACACUAAGAAUGGUAACUCAAGGCACGAAAUGAACAGCGACACUGAUAGUGACAGUUCACCACAGCCAAGGAGAAGAUCUCCAAGCAAGAGGAGAACUCUGGGCAGUUCUAGCGGAUCGGAUGUGGCACUGCAUGAAGGGGCGGAGCUGUCCCCAUUGGAGGACGACCAAGGUACCUCACUCACAGCUAACAUUCUAACAAAGAACAAUUCGGUUGAGUUGGCCUGCUCCGGCGUGCAGAACAAUCUGAUAGGGAUCAAGCCUAAGACGAGGACUAGUGGUAGAACCAGCUGUGUAUGUUGGAUGAGCCUGGCAGCCGCGGUGUUGGUCGCCCUGCUAGCACUAUUUCUUGCUCUGGAGCCGCGUACUCUCCACCGCACCCUGUCCAGCCAUGCCCCCAGGCAAGCUGGAAUCUGACUUUUUGCAAAACAACGAGCCAUCCUUCAUGGAAACGACCACAAUCGAGGUUGAUCCUGAUACACAAGAAAGAAUAACAAAAACCACGAGGACGGUGACAAUGUCAGUACCUGUAGCAGGCAGUGCUGUCGGUGCUGGUACCGAUGAGCUACGAGAAUCCAUGCAGAAGAUAGUCGAUCAGUUCAUGACAGAAGAAAGAAGAGGCCAGUGAAGCAUCCACGAGAAAUAAAUCCUAUAAUUAGAUACAAUAUUAAAUUAAUACAUAAGGAAAGAUACCUAUGACAUUCGAUUAUCUUAUAAAAGAGAAAAAAAGAGGACAGACAUUUUGUGCGACAAACUGUUCCAAGCGCAUAAUUCAGAUGAUAUCUUUUGGUAAUUCUGAUAUUGAGUAUCCUCGAGCUCCUUCAGAAUUUCCUAAGAUAGGAAUAGGGUUACGUACCUAGUUACGUAAUGACUUUGGCCUAGGCUUGAGAACUAUCUUUGUUAUUAUUUGGUUGCCUCACUUUGUGUCUGGUUUGCCGAGCGUUUAACAUUAUGUAUUGCUAGUACGACUAGCUUCCUGCUAGUCUUCACUAUGCCCAGCCCGUCCAUGUUUAGUGCUUUCCUUGUACGCGUUCAGUCAAGAUAAAAGUAAAAGGAGGAAGAAAAAUAGGAAAAACUUGUUUGUCAUGAAGAACCGAUAAAGAAUGUUUGUCCCGUAACGAACAAAUCAGAUGAUAUUACUUGCGUUUGAAUGAAUAGGUAAUAAUAAAGCAGCGAAAUGGAUCAUUAGAAAUGGAGUUAUAUAAGACACGGUCAUGAUAUAUAUAUAAAUUUUAUCUUCAAACGUGAUUAUCUCAAGCAGUUGGAUUCGAUUGGUAAAAGAAAAGAAAAUAGAGGAGAGAAAUUUUAGUCGAAUUAUUACGCCUGUCCGACAUGCAUCGCUUGCUAGAAGAAAAAGUUAAUACUUUCGUAUUGUUAAGAAAAUGAUUCAAUGAGCUUCGGCUUUUGGUGGCGAGAUAAUGAAAAAUAUGCUUCAUCGCUGCAUAAUAAAGAUUCUAAAGUGAAUGAAAAGGAAAAUGAAAAUUCCGCAAGGCCCGUCACUCUAAUCGCUCGCGGAUUUAAGCACAAUAAUAAUAUUAAUACGAGACUCUGAAUACCGUUUUUUUUUUAAAUCUUGGGCGAUCGCCGGCCUGCGGUUUUUCAUUUCCUUCAAUCAGAUGAUACAAUGUAAAUUUGACUUAUUUAAAGAUAUUUCCUAACCAUUUUUAAUUGUGUACAUUAUCAUUAUUUUCUUAGCAUAACUUAUAUACGAGUAUACUAUAUUGUACGGAUUGUAAUAAUUACAAGAAUUGUGACACGGUGAAUAUUUUAUUUAUAUGGCGAAGGAAGCUACGACUGUUCUGAACCGUUGGUUUUUUUCGCAUCGAAUUUGUGAAAUCUAUAGAAAAUUCUAGUGCAACGUAUUUUCUUUGUACAGAGGAUUCAAGAAAUGAAAAUAAAUCCUUGCAGGUGUAUAAUCAAAGACGUUCGUACGUUUUAUUCGUGGCUAUGAGAAAAUAUGUUGUGCAAUGAAUUUGAACGACUCGCAAUUUGUCUUAGGCUAGGCGGCAUAAGCUUUCAGUGUAUAACACAAUUUAAGGAUGGCGACGAAAAAGAAAUCGUAUAAUAUAUAUUUAGAAAUUCUCUAGCAUAAAGAUAUUCUAUUAAUAUAUAAUAUAAAUAUAUAUUAUAUUGAAGGAAAGCAAAAAAUAUAACGAGUAUACAUCCAAGAUUUAUAAAUUAUUAUCUAUGUUAUAAUAUUGUCUAUUACACAGCAUAAAAUAGACUUGCCUAGAGCCCACCUGACCUAAGGACCAAAGGCACAAAUCACUUGCAUGAAACGACUAAAAUAUUAUACUGCUCCUAUAAUAAUACUAUGACAUUUAAUAUAAUAAUCUGCCUACAACCGUAGUGAUACUGGCAUUUAAAUGUGUUCAAUUUUAUACAGGGUAAACCAAAACUGUUCUUCAGGUAUCAAUAUUUCUCUCGGUCACAAAGUUUUUAUUUGAUAUGCAUCGAAGGAUUAGGAACAAUUUUGUUACUUUGCAAGAACCUUAAUUAUAACCAAUAUAUUCGUUAUAAUACUUACUGUGUUAUUUGGAUACAUUAUCCAGGAUGUAUCUUCCAAUUUUAACACUCCAUAAAAGUUUCAAUAGCGGAAUUACCCUGUAUCGAGAAUCACAGUACGGCAUUAUAGACGUAGGCAUUCCAAUCACUUACAGACUCCAAGACGAUGAUUCAAUAAACAUUAAAUUACCAGUAUCACUCCAGCACAGCUCACAAUUUUCGUAAUUUUUGUACGAUUUAGUUGAGGUUUUUGUGGUGACCACAACAUUGCUACUAUACAGGAAGCAGCUCUCUUCUUUGUUUUACGCUGAAGAGAAAAAAGAAACUCAGCCGGAAUAUAUUGAAACGGUGCCGUGUCACGUUAAUAUACAGGAGAAAUCAAUGGCAUACUGUACUAUUAUGUGAUAGAGCUAUCAAUGACAGCAUAAUAAAUAAAAUAUUAUGUUACCUCUGAA